rnacentral:rRNA from 1 species
AGUGAACGCUGGCGGUAGGCCUAACACAUGCAAGUCGAACGGCAGCACAGUAAGAGCUUGCUCUUACGGGUGGCGAGUGGCGGACGGGUGAGGAAUACAUCGGAAUCUACUUUUUCGUGGGGGAUAACGUAGGGAAACUUACGCUAAUACCGCAUCCGACCUACGGGUGAAAGCAGGGGAUCUUCGGACCUUGCGCGAUUGAAUGAGCCGAUGUCGGAUUAGCUAGUUGGCGGGGUAAAGGCCCACCAAGGCGACGAUCCGUAGCUGGUCUGAGAGGAUGAUCGGCCACACUGGAACUGAGACACGGUCCAGACUCCUACGGGAGGCAGCAGUGGGGAAUAUUGGACAAUGGGCGCAAGCCUGAUCCAGCCAUACCGCGUGGGUGAAGAAGGCCUUCGGGUUGUAAAGCCCUUUUGUUGGGAAAGAAAAGCAGCAGGUUAAUACCCCGCUGUUCUGACGGUACCCAAAGAAUAAGCACCGGCUAACUUCGUG